GGGGAGGGUUACUUACAGAUAGCAUGCUUGCAAUACAGUUCCAGAGCGUUGGGAGUGGCUUCCCUUGCACCACCUUGCAUUCUGCUUCCACAGACAGGUUUUUGUAUCUCACCUCAACAGUAGUUUCUGCAAUAAUCGAAGAUUAUCAUUCUCAAGGUGCUUUAUAAGCUUCUCAAUGAAGAGGUGCUGUUCAAGCGCUCCAAGCUUGGUGGGUAGUCUCUCGAUCACAGCCCACUGCAACGCAAGUUCAUCAUCCUCCUCUUGUAUUGAAUCUGAAUGACUGCUUUUGAAGCUUGAACCACGAUGGUGGUAUGGUGACUGUUGAAUGUUUCUUCCAACACUUGUUAGUUCCAUCUCCGAAAGAUAUGUUUGUUGCUGCUAAAGAGAGCUUAUCCUGAAGAACUCAUAUACUUCAUCUGUACUUGUGGUGGUGGGGGCGUUUCUAUUAGUGGCUUUGUUGUCAUCUUUACCACCUUUACUACGAGUCUGAAUCUGUGCUUCGUAGUCCUCCUGUCCUGGCCAACUGCGAUUUUCCAUGUUGUUCCGUUUCCGUAGAGUAGUCAUGGAGGAGACCAUGAAGAUUAGUCGAAGCUGUCAAUAAAUCGCCAUAAACAAGUUAUGACUAAUGAAAUGUGAAUGUGGACACAGACUGAAGAUUGGGAGGGAGUUAUAAUUGAUUUUGAUUGAUAUACACGUGUCAUCAAAAGCAUAAAGGGACAAGACAUUAUGGGAUAUCUCUAUAAUUGCUUUCAAUCUCCCAAGGAGUAAUAAUUUCUGCAUGCUGAUAGGAGCAUGACAAGCCAUUUGUGGAAAUGGGUGGGUAUUUGAAAGCCACUUGUAAGGCAAAGUAGAGAUGGACUUCCCAUGAAAUAAGCAACAUGAAGAAAGUGGAGAUCGACUGCUUAUGAAAUAAGCAACCUGAUGGGGUUAGUUUCUCUGCUCGUGUUGAUGUUCCCUCUAUUUUAUAGUUCUCUAGGACAUGUCUCUUGAAAACAUGUAUAUUUUAUUAUUUUAUUUUAUGAUUUAUUAAUUUUUUAAAAAAGAGAAAAGUUAGGGAUCAUGAAAAAAUUUUCAUGAAAUGAUCAUGAAAUAUUUAUGACUCUUAGAUUAUCUUGAUUAAUGUGUGUUGCUUUAUUUUAAGUGUAAUCCAAUGGUCAUAAAUCUUUCAUGAUCAUUUUCAUGAAAGUUUUUUCAUGAUACCUAGCAUUGCUCUU